rnacentral:rRNA from 1 species
AUGAACGCUGGCGGCGUGCCUAAUACAUGCAAGUCGAGCGCACAGAUGAGGAGCUUGCUCCUCUGACGUUAGCGGCGGACGGGUGAGUAACACGUGGAUAACCUACCUAUAAGACUGGGAUAACUUCGGGAAACCGGAGCUAAUACCGGAUAAUAUAUUGAACCGCAUGGUUCAAUAGUGAAAGACGGUUUUGCUGUCACUUAUAGAUGGAUCCGCGCCGCAUUAGCUAGUUGGUAAGGUAACGGCUUACCAAGGCGACGAUGCGUAGCCGACCUGAGAGGGUGAUCGGCCACACUGGAACUGAGACACGGUCCAGACUCCUACGGGAGGCAGCAGUAGGGAAUCUUCCGCAAUGGGCGAAAGCCUGACGGAGCAACGCCGCGUGAGUGAUGAAGGUCUUCGGAUCGUAAAACUCUGUUAUUAGGGAAGAACAAAUGUGUAAGUAACUAUGCACGUCUUGACGGUACCGAAGCAGAAAGCCACGGCUAACUACGU